rnacentral:rRNA from 1 species
CAAGUCGAACGGGGGUGGGGGCAACUCCACUUCAGUGGCGAACGGGUGAGUAAUGCAUCGGAACGUGUCCCGUAGUGGGGGAUAACGCCGCGAAAGCGGCGCUAAUACCGCAUACGCUCUGUGGAGGAAAGCCGGGGACCCGCAAGGGCCUGGUGCUAGGGGAGCGGCCGAUGUCCGAUUAGCUAGUUGGUGGGGUAAUGGCUUACCAAGGCAACGAUCGGUAGCUGGUCUGAGAGGAUGAUCAGCCACACUGGGACUGAGACACGGCCCAGACUCCUACGGGAGGCAGCAGUGGGGAAUUUUGGACAAUGGGGGCAACCCUGAUCCAGCCAUGCCGCGUGCGGGAAGAAGGCCUUCGGGUUGUAAACCGCUUUUAGCCGGGAAGAAAAGGCGCGGGCUAAUACCCUGUGUUUUUGACGGUACCGGCGGAAUAAGCACCGGCUAACUACGUGCCAGCAGCCGCGGUAAUACGUAGGGUGCGAGCGUUAAUCGGAAUUACUGGGCGUAAAGCGUGCGCAGGCGGUUCGUUGUGUCGGCGGUGAAAGCCCCGGGCUUAACCUGGGAAUGGCCGUUGAAACUGGCGAACUGGAGUGUGGCAGAGGGGGGUGGAAUUCCGCGUGUAGCAUUGAAAUGCUUAAAGAUGC